UACACACACACACACACACACACACACACACACCAAACACACACAUAUAAAUAUGCACGGGCCAGCCGGGUCACACAGACGUCACAACAGGCCUGCAGUGGUCCGACCGUCGGUCCGACCGUCGGUCCUGUGUUGUGUCAGUCAGCAGUGACAGGGUUAAACACGACGGCUCAAAAAGUUCCAACAGGUUUAAGAUGGAAGGACGGUUUUUGGUACUGU